rnacentral:tRNA from 3 species
CAAAUUAGAGCUUGUUAAAAAGUUUUUUAUUUACAUUAAAAAGUUAGUUGUGUGAAUCAAUUUAAUUUGA